AGUGAACGCUGGCGGUAGGCCUAACACAUGCAAGUCGAACGGCAGCACAGUAAUUGCUUGCUCUUCCGGGUGGCGAGUGGCGGACGGGUGAUGAAUACAUCGGCAUCUACUUUUUCGUAGGGUAUGACGUAGGGAUACUUUCGCUAAUACCGCAUACGACCUACGGGUGAAUGCAGGGGUUCUUCCGAUCUUGCGCGAUUUAAUGAGCCGGUGUCGGAUUAGCUAGUUGGCGGGGUAAAGGCCCACCAAGGGGACGAUCCGUAGCUGGUCUGAGAGGCUGAGCAGGCACAAUGGAGCUGAGAGACGGUCCAGAAUCCUAAGGGAGGCAGGAGUGGGGAAGAUUGGAGAAUGGGCGAAAGCCGGAUCAAGCGAGAAAGCGUGGGGGAAGAAGGCCUUCGGGUUGAAAAGCGCUUUUGUUGGGAAAGAAAAGCAGCAGAUUAAUAAACCGCUGUUGUGACGGUACCCAAAGAAUAAGCACCGGCUAACUUCGUG
rnacentral:rRNA from 1 species